rnacentral:rRNA from 1 species
UACGUAGGUGGCAAGCGUUGUUCGGAAUUAUUGGGCGUAAAGGGCGCGUAGGCGGUCUUGUAAGUCAGCUGUGAAAGCCCGGGGCUCAACCCCGGAGGGUCGGCUGAUACUGCAGGACUGGAGUACGGAAGAGGAGAGUGGAAUUCCUGGUGUAGCGGUGAAAUGCGCAGAUAUCAGGAAGAACACCUAUGGCGAAGGCAGCUCUCUGGGACGGUACUGACGCUGAGACGCGAAAGCGUGGGGAGCGAACAGG